UUAAUGAGAAGGUGUGGUGCUAAAUUAAGCCUAUUCUUUGUUUCCUUCCUGCAUAUGUAUUUUCAGUUUACACACAGGUGGAUAGUGCCAAAAACCAUUUCAAAAGGUUCUGCUGCAUGUUGCAUAUUGUGCAAGUUUGUUCAAAUUGGUAUUGUAAUUCACAUUCAACUAACAACUCUUCAGCUUCCAAAAAUCCUCUUCUUCAAUAGUCUUGUUUAUGACAGAUUUUGUCAUGAGAUCCUCCUCCUUUUCACCCCGGUUAUGACUUUUGUUUAGCU
rnacentral:lncRNA from 1 species